UCCUACGGGAGGCAGCAGUGGGGAAUAUUGCGCAAUGGGCGAAAGCCUGACGCAGCGACGCCGCGUGAGGGAUGAAGGUCUUCGGAUCGUAAACCUCUGUCAGCAGGGAAGAACGGUCACUGUGCUAAUCAGCAGUGAAUUGACGGUACCUGCAAAGGAAGCACCGGCUAACUCCGUGCCAGCAGCCGCGGUAAUACGGAGGGUGCGAGCGUUAAUCGGAAUUACUGGGCGUAAAGCGCUCGUAGGCGGUAUGUCAAGUCAAGGGUGAAAUCCCCGGGCUCAACGGGAGAAGUGCCUUUGAAACU
rnacentral:rRNA from 1 species